UCCUAUCACCAGGACUUGGCAUUUGC
rnacentral:piRNA from 2 species